rnacentral:rRNA from 1 species
UACGUAGGGUGCAAGCGUUAAUCGGAAUUACUGGGCGUAAAGCGUGCGCAGGCGGUUAUGUAAGACAGAUGUGAAAUCCCCGGGCUCAACCUGGGAACUGCAUUUGUGACUGCAUAGCUAGAGUACGGUAGAGGGGGAUGGAAUUCCGCGUGUAGCAGUGAAAUGCGUAGAUAUCUGGAGGAACACCGGUGGCGAAGGCGGCAUCCUGGACCGACACUGACGCUGAGGAGCGAAAGCCAGGGGAGCAAAGCGGG